CCCGUGCGCACAGUUGACAGGCGACCGUGGCGCCGCCAACAACAAAAAACGACAAGGCCGAUCUAGUUUGUCUGUGGACAUGUUAAGUUUGGCUGUAAACGGGCACAAAUAGGCGUUUCGGUCGUAAGGAAUGGAUUCGUGACUCGAGGCUUGACGGUCCGCGCGCCCCCCAAAGGCCCCCCAUAGCGGAAACAGUGCGAGACGGAUCUGGCGGCGAUCGGCAGCGGCCAAGUCGAUUCGGCAGUCAGGGUGUAUUGAGUAGUUUUUACGGGUCCCGUCAGGAGCGAAUCGCUAUCAAAAACCGGAUCAAAAUUGGCCGAGAUCUAUUUUUAAAUGCGCCUUUCUGUUGUAUUCCAUUAAUAUCUAUCUGUCUCUACGGUCUGAGCUAUUUUCGCGAUCCCGCGGUGUAAAAAUAGCCGUCGUGUCUGCGGACAGUGCUGUGAGGAUGUUGCCGCGAGGCCAUUUUUCAACUCGACUUUUCGGCUAAUUAUUUUCGAUUUGUGCGAAUUUCGCGUGUGUUCAGUGCCCAGUUGUGUCCAGUUGGCUUGCGGGUAUUCGCUGCCGCCCACUUCCCUAAUACAGAACGGAUUUUCGGCCCCAAUCUUCGACCUUUUGAUUUGGUCGAGUUUAUCUGGACGGGGAUCUUCCGCCAGCCAGGAUGCGGCUUGCCAGGAACCUAAAGUGAUGGUGAGCGUCGAGUAGAGAGCGGACGCUGAAUCCAGCUGGAAUCCAGACCGAAUGGUCAAGAUCUGAGCCGUUUUCCAGCUAAAAUAACCACGGUGGCUUCAGGCCCGGAGUGUGGCCCCGUGGCCGCCGAUAAGGGGGCCGAUUGUUGGUGGUCCCCUCUGGCGGCCAUGGGCUGUUUUGGAGAUCGGGACGCUGGUCAUGCCAAUGAGGACAUCCGAUCGCAGAAGCGCAUCAGCGACCAGAUCAACCGACAACUAGCCAAAGAGAAACAAGUGUACAGAGCUACGCAUAGAUUGUUGUUGUUGGGCGCUGGAGAGUCCGGAAAGUCGACCAUAGUGAAACAGAUGCGAAUCCUACACGUUGACGGCUUCAGUGAGCGUGAAAAAAAGCAGAAAAUCGAGGACAUUAAGAAGAACAUUCGAGACGCCAUUAUCACCAUAACGGGGGCAAUGUCGACGCUCAGCCCGCCCGUUCCUCUAGAAAAGUCGGAAAAUCAGGUGCGCGUCGAUUGGAUCCAGGACGUGGCGACCGGGCCCGACUUCGAUUACCCAUCCGAGUUUUAUGAACACACCGAGGCUCUCUGGAAGGACAAAGGCGUGCAGUCGACAUACGAGCGUAGCAAUGAAUAUCAGCUGAUCGACUGCGCCAAGUAUUUCCUGGACCAGGUGGACGUGAUCAAGCAGCCCAACUACACCCCCACUGAGCAGGACAUUUUGCGCUGUCGCGUCUUGACUAGCGGAAUUUUUGAGACGCAAUUUCAAGUGGACAAAGUCAACUUUCACAUGUUUGAUGUGGGCGGUCAACGUGACGAGCGUCGCAAAUGGAUUCAGUGCUUCAACGACGUGACCGCCAUCAUUUUCGUGACGGCGUGCAGUUCAUACAAUAUGGUGUUGCGUGAGGAUCCGACUCAGAACCGGCUCAAAGAGUCUCUCGAGCUGUUCAAGUCGAUCUGGAACAAUCGCUGGCUCCGAACCAUAUCCGUGAUUCUGUUCCUCAACAAGCAGGAUCUGCUAGCCGAGAAGAUUCUAGCAGGUAAGCAAUCACAAUGCAAAAGUAAACUAGAAGACUACUUUGCGGAGUUCACGAGGUACCAGCCGCCAUCCGAGGUACCCAACGAGAAUAACGAACAUCCCGAAGUGUUCAGGGCCAAGUACUUCAUUCGUGACGAGUUCCUGCGCAUCAGCACAGCUUCAGGUGAGGGCAAACACUAUUGCUACCCGCACUUCACCUGCGCAGUAGACACGGAAAACAUUAAGCGAGUGUUCAACGACUGUCGGGACAUCAUUCAGCGCAUGCACCUGCGCCAAUACGAGCUGUUAUAACCGCCCCCAAGUAACCACCAAACGACCACCGCCAACAUUUCAUCUGUUCGUCUGGCUGAUGAUUUUCCUGCCGCUGCUGCUGCCGCCGCUUCUCUUCAAGGUUGUCUGCGACUUUCCAGCCAUGCCAGAUUAUACGGAACACGUGUGAGCUGAGGGGGACUGGCAGCACCUGAUUGGCCAUUUCAUAGCCGUGCAGCGCCUAUCGAGUGGCAUUAAGGGGCCCCAAGCACCCCCUUUGGCACCCCAUAGUUAAGUUUAAGAUAUUUUGUACAAUCAGCAGAGAAAUGUCCCCGGGGCCCAUGCACAAGUCGAGGACAUUGCCAACAAAUUCACCCUGGUUUUUCAGAUACAUUUCGUCCCCGCCCCCAUUUCCCUAUAUAGCGAGUUGUUUUGUAAAGUACUUAAAAGGUAGUUGAAACGCAGAAUUAAUAAUAUACGUAAGGUAAAUUAAUUGAACGCGCCUAUGGGCUCGAUUGGCGGAUUUUCGGCCGGCAAUUUGGCUGGUGGCCUUUACGUGUGCCGCCCUCUUGGGCCAUUGAUCCUGCUCGUGGCUGUAAUUUACAUUUAUCUUUAAUUUUGUGUUCGAAAACCCGGAUUAUUGGCCAAAUGGGGCGGACGGCGGAUUAAGCCGACAGUCGAUUUGCCACAAUCUAGUCGGGCUUUAAUGCGCGAUUACUACAAAAAAUGAAAAAAUUGAAAGAUUCUUAUGUGGAUUUUUUUAUUCGCUUAAAUGACGCUGUAUAGUGAUGCGUUCCACUUGCGCUGGACACGUUUAUGUUUAACAGAUGGUAGAUUUAAGGGCAUUAUUCAUUUUUGUAUUGUUUAGGUUAAGGCAUUGUGUAUAUAUACGUGGUGCAGCACCGUGGAACUGAUGGAAGCUUUGUAUUUAAUGAACCUUUGACUAACGCGCGUUUCAUUGUGCUGUACUGGAGAUCUCUAAAAUUCGGCUCAAAUUGUAGCUUGUCAUGAUUUGCGAACGUCUAGUAUACAGUGUCGUUUAAAACAAAAAACUGUACUAAGGAAUAAAAAGUGUUAAGUAUAUGGUAAGAA
rnacentral:misc_RNA from 1 species